CCCGGCGGCCGGGGCGGGAGCGCGGCGAGCCGCCGGCGCCCUCGGGUGCCGAUGCGGGACGGCCGAAGCGGAGGGGGAAAGGCGGGAAGGGCGCCGCCGGCUCGCGUCGUCAUACUCAGCGCCGUGGGGUUUCGCGGGGUCGCGCGGGCCCUUUAAACGCCGCGCGCUCCGCUCUGGGCACAGCCCAGUCCCUCCCGAGUACAGCCUUAGCCCUCCCGACGGGGCUGAAAAGAGAGGGGAAAGGCGAAAAAUGACUCGGCCAUCUCAUCUACAUCUCUCUUCGUGAUUUUAAAGACAGUUUUUGGUGUCCUGGCUGGUUUUGGGAUGCACCCGCUUCAUUGCAAGUCCUGAAGGUGCCCGGGAGCGCAGCCCUGCUUCUCCCCGUGUCGCUGCAAGGCACAACCGCCGCUGGAGUCUGCUGUAAGGAUGCCGUGCGCUGGGAUGGAACAGGCUCCUGCUAAGUGAUCCAGUGCUCCCCAAAAUGGCAAACGAGGGGGAAUCCUACCGUGGUGUUUUAAAGCAAGCCUAAGCGCACGUUGCGUGGCGUCUGCUGAACCGCCGUGUGCUUGCAAGCAUUGAGCCCGGUGCUGCUCCGUCUGCACGGCCAAGAGGCGAGACCGCUGGGCUCUCCCGGUUGGCACCCCUUGGUGGGCUGUCACAGGCCAUUUUGCAAACCAGGACCAACUCUCUGCAGCCUCUUACGGCUUCGUUUUGGCCAGUCCCUGAAACUAAACGAGGAAGAGGGAGGAAAAGUACUAUUCCCUCUCAGCCUAGCAACCAGUGACCCUUUUUAAAUAGGGGUUCAACGCAAUAAUCAAGGAUUCAUUUUUACCUGUCAUGGCUGAACUGCUGGAGUAGAGCCAUGGCAUCUCUACUGCUUUUACAAUGCCACUCUCUCCCCUAUUAUUCUCUCUGCUUCCUCACUAUGACAUUUUCCCUUUCUACCUGCAUGCUUACCACUGGCUUUCCCCAAGUGCUGAGUCAUUAUUCUGUAUCUCAUGGCAGGUUAGGGGGUUUUGUGAUUCCUUAUAUUAAAUGUAGAAAUUAGAGAUGGAAAAGACCUGUUAGGUCAUCUACUCUGCUCCCCUGCUGGUAGAGGAUUUGCAGCACGCGCUUGAUUGCUCUGUCCGCUUUUGUUUUAAAUGCCUCGGGUAAUGGGGUUUCCACCUCUUUCUUUUGGAGACUAUUUCAUGGUCCAGCAAGUCCCAUGGUCAGGAAGAUAUUUGGCCUACAUUUUCAUUUGUUGAGUUUCACCCAAUUACUCCUGUGUAUUGUGCUCCCUUAAACAAUUUUUAUCCUCUCUGUCUGUUUUGUGCCUUGCACCCAGGUAUCACUCCUUUUCCUGACCACUGCCAUUAGUUCUUUUUUAUCUCCUUUCAUUAACCGGUCCCUGCAGCCACUUUAUCACUGUCAUUGGUCUUCUCUGCUUCCCAUCCAAUUGGUAUCACCUUUUCAGCCCACGGAAUCCCACAUUUAGGGACAAGUAUCUGCCGUUGUGAAUGCAGCCAAAACCCAUCACGGUUUACUUGGUCUCCAAGUCGCCUCAGAAGCUUGCACAAAAUUUGUCACCUGCCAUCGCCCCAAAUCAGAUCUAGUCCUGUUACUCAGUAUUCCCUCUUGCAGUGCAACUGCAAUCUGUUUUUCUCCAUGGAGCUUGUGGCGAAGCUAUGUGUCUCGAGCCUCAUUUUUCUGCCUGGAGUUUCAACAUCUGUUCCUUCUGGGGUCACUGAUACCUGUUGUUCCUCCCACUUUGAUUAAUGGCCCUUACAAACACAGGCUUUGAUCCAUCUUGGCAGACCUCUCAACCAGUAUGAGUGGUUACAUGUAUCUGUCCAAGAUCACAACCUGCUUUAGAGCUGUUGUCUUCCAGCUCCUUCUGUUCUUUUUCUUUCCACCACUCCACUAAAUGUGAGUGCAAUGCAUGGUAACUAGAAAAGGAAGGGAAAGAAAGGAUGGCUGAGUAGAGAAAGCCACAGGCAUGAGUGCAGCACCUUUCCAGCCAGAAGCCAAUCGCACUGAAGCUGCUGUAAGAAAGCUGGCAAAGGAAACGUGGCUGGACAGAACAGAUAUCACACUGCCCUGUGGUCUGCCCUUCCCAAAAGAAGCAGGUAUGCCUCGGCCAUGCUAGCUAGAUGCUAGCCACAGUGACUGAAGAACAUCCUUGAACCCUUUGAACAAGGAGGGACAAACUCCUCGUAAUGUGUUAGCUUCUCUGCUUGGUUCUGCCCUUGUUUCUCUGACCUGAUUUCUCGCGGUUCCUCUCAUUACUUCCAUCUCUUGAGACCUCAGACUAUAUGGUCCUGACUGCUGCUCUGUGCAGGAGAUGAAAAACGCUACCAGAUCUGGUGGGCAGGAUGGCUUGUGGUUGCGGGACAGUUGCUCUGGAAAUGUGAAGAGAAAGCUUCCCCAGCUGUCAGCUCCCCUUUAGAUCCGCGCCACGUGGAGAUUGCACAGAGCGGAAAGGAAGUCCAUUAGCUCGUAUUAAACCUUGAACAGGCUCCCAGUUAGUUUCCUUCCCUCUCACCGAGAGGCCACUGCUUAGCUUAUCUCCAGGGAGGACCCAUUAGUUAAAAGCAGGAUUUCCAAUCCCGCAGAGCCACCUUUCAUCAACACCCUAGCUAGAAGUCCCCUAACUUUUUGCUCGGAUAGAUGGUGGCAACAGUAAUUCAGGCAAAAGGUAACCAUACUCUGGCCUCUGAAGUGAGGCCAAGUUCCUGCCUUGGGCUCUCCCAGGAAAGGGAGGUGGGUGGCAUGUUGGGGGGCGGCAGGGGAUAAGAAAACCCAUAGAUAGGAGUAUGUUCUUUCUCCUCGUAAUGGCCUGAAAAUCUGGCUUUGGAUGCUUGUAUUUUCUGGUCUGGAGUUUGUCCCUCAAAACAGAGCAAGCCCUGAAGAAGAAGAGGCAAACCAGCCUUUCACUGGGACUCAACAUUUUCUGCCCACAGCAGUGCAUCUGCAUACCAUCUCCCACUGAUUCUUUGUCACCUGGGCCUCCUUCACAGCCAUGAGACUCCCAGUGUCUUCCUACCUGCACUUUCUCAACAGCUAGGCUAGUUUUUUUCAUAUGUCCCUAAAGGAUGUUGGAGCCUUUUUCCCAAAGGAAUUAAACACUUGGGAACCUAAAUCCAGCCAAAAGCCAAGGGUUUAAUUUCUUCUUUUGUACACUGAAUUUCUAGUUCCAGCAGUGUACCUCAGAUAUUUGCAAUAAUUGUUGACUUCACCUCGCUUUUAUUAAGGAGACUCUAUUCGUGGUAGUAUUUUUUUCUUUCCUGGUAUUUGCAAAGGCACUCAUUAGUUCCCAGUGCCCAGUUAUCAUUAACUCAUUCUAUUGUUUCUCCGCUGUUAUCUUUUCCUUCCCUUUAUCUUUUCCCAGCACAACUUAACUGACUCACUUAUUUAAUGACCACUUAUUUGCUUCAUUUGUAUUACUAGUUUUAUUCUUGUCUUCCAAUGUUUGAACAGGUACAGAUAGUCACUUGAUGGGUCUGCUGACAUUACUGAGCCUUGACCAAGAUGACUCUUCCAGAUUGAGGGACAGAAUCAAGCUCUUAAGGAACAAAACACAGUAGGAGACCAUAGUAAUUUCCAAGAAUGUGCAAAGGAUAUGUUGAUGUUAGCAUGCAACAGAGUUUUUGGUCCUGCGGACACACCAGUAAAUCCAUGAGUGUUAGUGCACAGAGAUGCUGUGGAAGUGAUCCUCGCUGCAUUGCACGUUUAGUACUACCAUUCUUUUUCCCUUACCAAAUUGGUUUCUGAAACCAAAUUGGAUUUUAUGGCCCUAUUGUGCAUCACUCAUGCUGCUUCUCAUCAUUAUCAGUGAGAUUAGCUUUCACUUCCUAUUCUCAGGUGAGUCCUUCUUUCCAAGAUUCAGCCAGGUCAAUGUUUCUUGUGGUAGAAUUCCUGAAUCCUUGGCUUUUUAAGAAUAUAUGUGAAAUUCAGUCUCAGGUGUUAGAGUGAGAAAUGCUAUAUCCAUAUUAUUUGCAUUCUUGUUUGUUUACCUAAGAGCCAAAUCUUCUUUGAGAUUUCGUGGUCCUCUGAAUGCUCAGGGCUGGCUCUAUGAAUAGGAUUUACACCAGUAUAAUGAUUUUGGUAAAAGGUUUGUUUGUGGGGUUUUUUUGAAUCAUAAUAGCAAUACGAGUGCAUUCCCUAAAGCUGCAGGCAUUUUGAUAUAAAUACACUUACGCAAUUUACAUAGGCACUUGCAUAGCUUUCCCAUUUCAGAAACCCACAACAGUCAAAAUGGAAAUGCAAAAAUUCCGGUAUGUCACCUAUUCAUCCAGCGGCAAAUAUAUGCAAAAAAGUAACCCUGAACAUAAUUGAUGCUCUAAACUAUGUCAUCGUCACACAUCGUCAUAUACUGGAUUAUUUUCAAUCAUCUAGUGUGUUGCUUCUGUAAAUAAGAGAAAUGUUUUUCUACUGCUGUGUGACUAUUCUGUUAGGAGAAAGGGGAAGAGAGAUUGAGGAUUGUACUGAUUUAACUCCUUUUCAUUGUUCAAAGCAGUGCAGCAUCUUCUGAGAGACAAGUCUAUAGUCACAUCUGAAAAGCAGACUUCAUUGCACAAGGCACUGCUCGGGCACAUGCUGACAGUGCUACUCCUGGUACCUACUUCCAUGUCGCAGCACAUAAAGGUGAGGCAGUGAGUGGCCCUGACAGUGGCCCUGAGAGCACUAACUCCAGUGACACCAACCUGGCAACAGCCAAACCCGACUACCACGUUGGACUAAACUGCAUGGGACCGCGGUCCCCUCUCCUACCACUGCGGAGCAACAUCGUGGCACCACAAGGCUGGUACAGCCGAGUCCUUGUCGACCUCUUCUAGUGUCCGGGUUACAGCAUGGUGCCACAAAGCAGAGUUUCCUGGACUAGCACCCUGUAAAAGUGCCCCAUCCCACACUGCCGUGCUGUGCAAGUCACAGCACACCCUCCUUAGCCGUGCCAGCAGCUGCUUUAAGCGCUGUGAAAAGGCACAAGGAAUAUAUCGUGUGUGUGUGUGCAUCCCUGUGUUUAAAGCCAGCUAAGUUCCCCUCGCUGUGGUGCAAGUAGAUGGAGAUACCUUAAACUGGAAUCUUGCAGUCCCUCAAAGCCGCAGCUUAUGCCAGUAGCCCUCUUGCUCACUACCAAAGAGACCAAAAAGUCUUGGCCAGGCACUGCUUGUUGCCCCGACCCUACAAAAUCACCCCAACAGAACGUGUGGAAGGGUUGCCAGGCAUGCAAGGACCAAGGAGUAAAAGCAGGGGACCUCUGCCUGCGGCUGGAGAUGGGCAAGGCCGUAUCGGAGGCUCUUCAGACUGGGGAGAGCAGCUCUGAGCCUGGGAGAGCUGAGAGGAAUGGAGGGAAGUCUGCUGGGGGAAGAUCAGUAGCAGGGAGCUGGAGAGCAGGUGGGGUUAAGAGGUUGGCCUGCACCGGGCGAAACUUCCCCGCUCGACCUACUUUCGCAGGGGUGGUUGUUUAAAUGGAAUUUAAAUCUCUCUAGAUAUGUGAGGAACUUGCCAGCAUCACCUGAAGACGUGCAGUGACAGGGGCAGGGCUACACCGGUCAAGCACGUGCGCGGCCAGAGCUGGGACUGAGGUCCUUGAUGCCACAGAGAGAUUUCCAUGGGCAAAGGCUCAUUUCUUGAGCAGACAGGGCUCUGCAGGGUGCACAAAACCACCAGUAAAUGAGGGAAAGCAAAAAACGUUACCAAAACCAGGAUUUUUGGAAGACAAUUCUGCAAAAUACGAGAUCCCCAGCUACCAGUUUCAGGUGUAAGCUAUACCUUCAUGUUUUGUUCUUGCAUAAUCCAGAACAAUGAAGUGUGUGUCAAUACUGACAACCUCAUGAAUUCAAAAUAAUGAGUUAGUUGCCUCUUACCUCAAAAUCACAAGAUUUUUGAGGGGAAAAAAAAUACUUUGGAAAAUUCUUUAAAUUUUACAUGUCUGCAUUUCUUUAUCUUGCCUCUGGAUUUUGUCCUGUAAAGUACAUAUUUGCAAACUUCUCCCCCAAAUUUUGAAUGCUAGCAAAUUUCUUCUCUUUCCUUCCUUAUUUUCUUUGUUAUUUUUCUGUCUGUCUCCCUCCCUCUGUCCCUCCUUUCUCACCUUCCCACCUGCCUUCUUAUGUUGUAUGUAAUUAAAUGAUUCAGACCAGGAAAAUUAAAGAAUUAUAAGAUAUAUGAUGAAACUCAAGGUAAAAGUAGAAAAAGCAUCAAGCUAUAUUCUGUUACUGCAAAACAUUUUAAACAAAAAUAAACAAAAAAUAGAAGCUGAAGGGACAAAGUUCAAAUUAUGUGUCAAAUAAGGCCAAAAUUAUUUACAUUUUGCAUGUACUAUGGCUGGAUUUUACUUCUCCAGUUUACUCAUCUCAGCUGCAGAGGUGAAGAAAACUUUCCUCAAAACUCAAUCCUCUCUAUCAGUAAUAUUUUCACAGGCUCAACACCCCCUCCCUCCUUUUUCAGCAUCAUUUUCUCCAUGGGGAGACAGGAUUACAGCUGUCAUGCCUGUUCGGAGUUGUGGUGCACACUCUGUCAUCCAUGUCAUUGUAACUCUAUAUCUUGCUGGCAGUAAAAGAGUGACACAAAUUGUUUUCCUGCCAUAUAAACAUUGUCUAGUAGAUUUAAUGCUCAUAAUCUAAUGUGAGGAAUAACAUUAUAUGAACAACAGUAGUCAAUCUGCUUACAAUGAUUGCCCGGUACUGCUGGGGAAAAAAAAAAAAAAAAAAAAAAGAGUACUACUGCUUCUCCAAGCCUGCGGAGGCUCAGCACCUUUCUGUCCAGUCCUGCACCCUCUGGGGCAGGGGCUUACAGCAGCGUGACCACACAGCUGCAAAGCCAGUGGGCUGAAAUGGAAACCCAAGCUAGGAAAAGGAAAAGGAAGAGGAAGAGGAAGAGGAAGAGGAAAAGGAAAUGGAAAAGGAAAAGGAAACUCAACUCAAGGCUUAGUGAGAGUAGUGCGUGCUCAGCAAAUGGCAGAAUGAAACCCUAGCAAAUGAAAAAAAGCAGCGUGAGUACAGCUUGUUGCACAGAAUCGUGAUUUAUCUGCUUUUAUUUUCAAUAGUUCCAGUGGCAUCAUGAUGUAGGAUUUUAUAGCCUAUUAAAUCAUGCCUGACAUUUAUGGAUAUAGUUUAGAGCGCAUGCAUUAUGGAUAGGCAGUAGCCUCUCCAUGGCUGAGCAGCAGUUUCCACUCGCAAGUCUCACUCCAUCCUCACGCCCUUUCAUAACUUUCACUCAGAAACUGACAAAUACACUCCAAAGACAAAGAUUUUGGCCAAGAAUACAAAAAAAUAAAACAACUGAUGAGUUACAGGUUGUUUAGAUUUUCCUGAUCUAAAAUGGCCUUUAUUUCUCUUGUUGUCUUCUGUUUCCAAAAGCAGGUCCACAUCCAGAAGGGUCCCCUGCAGCUUCUUCAGGCGUUGCAUAUUCUGCAAUCUCCAUCAGCGCAAACAGAUCGCCCUCUCACAGGAAAGAGGUGGUAAUCAGCCCAAGUCGGAGACAAUUUUUUUGGCACAUGUAGGGAGUGGCGUAAUUAAGACCGGAAAUUUGAGCUGACCCCAAUAUUAGCUUGGGAAGUGACUGAGAAGAGGCGCAGAGGAGGGUGGACCUGGGUGCCAAGACCUGGCCUUAUCAGGCCCAACUCUGUACAGGUCUCUGGUUGCUAUGGAGGGUCCCCAGCCCUGUCCUCUUGAUUUCAGGCUUGAGCACUGUUCUUGGCAACAUCAGUCCCAGUGGGUUUUGUGUCCUUUUUGUGUGCAACGAGCAGGGGCAGUAUCCGAGGAUGCUUCUGCUCCUACUUCAUGUUGGGCAUGGGUGGUGCUGGAGGAUCAGACCGUGAAGCCCCCACAUGCGUGCAUGGGAGGACAGAGGCGUCAGGCUCCGGACAUGUUGCUCGCUGCCUUGCGCUCUCCUCACUGUUCAUCACCUGGAGAGUGGUGGGAUGGCAGCAUCGCCACUGCUGCCUGCCUGGCACGAGGUCUGCUGCCCCUUCCCACCCUCACGGACGGACAGCAUCUCACUAGACAGACCCAUCUUUGCAGCCAUUGCCUGAGGAAAGCGGAGUCUUGGGUUUAACUGGUUGAGACAGCCUGUGAGGGCAGUCGGGAAGGAGGAGGAGGGCGAGCGGCUUGGACAAGUCCUGUCAGCCAGAGCAGAGGGAGAGGGAAGAGCAAGGCAAUGGAUGAGGAUGGCAAAGGCAGUCAAGAAGGGAGGAGGACAUGGAUCUUGGUUCAGGAGAGGCCUCACCAGAAAUUUCGAGGGAAGAGUGUGAUCAGAGGAGCAGCUGGAUAGGUGACCUUGACCAGAGGGGAAUUCAGCCUCUCUGCCUGUUUUCCAGGGGGAAUGGCCCGCAGCCAGGGAGACUCCCCUGUGUCACAGGUCUAUGGCACAGGGACCUUUGUGACCAGGAGGGAAGGCUUUGGCUGCCUGGGGAAGACACUAGUUUUAUAUGCCAGGGCCUGAACUGAGCGCAGAUUGCAGUGGUCACAGCUACCACUGUGAGAGAUAAAGACACAUUUCACUCUUAGAUAGCAUCUUACAAGCGGUAAUUAAAUUUUUACAACACC